rnacentral:rRNA from 1 species
CACGUAGGGUGCGAGCGUUGUCCGGAAUUAUUGGGCGUAAAGAGCUCGUAGGCGGUGUGUCGCGUCGGCCGUGAAAACCUGCAGCUUAACUGUGGGCUUGCGGUCGAUACGGGCAUCACUGGAGUUCGGCAGGGGAGACUGGAAUUCCUGGUGUAGCGGUGAAAUGCGCAGAUAUCAGGAGGAACACCGGUGGCGAAGGCGGGUCACUGGCCCGAUACUGACGC